UUUAAAGGGAGCGUAGAUGACGUCAAGGAAUGUAACAGUGUUACUACAGUGCGUUUCAUAACGAAUACCCUGUACAAAUAUAUAUACAUACGUAUAUUUUUAUAUACAACAGAGAUAUGCAUGCCUUGCUCGACAAAAGUACUGUUGCAAGCGCCGCAGGCGGCAUUAUCGGGAAACCCUACUGGAACCGUAUUUUUGUCCCAGUAUUGGUUAUAAGCUACAACGUGAUGAGGAUAGGGAAGUGCUCAGACCUGAAGGUCGAUUAUGUAACUCAAAUGUAGUGAAAAUACGAAAAGUGAGUAGCUGUUAGCCAAUCGCGUGUUAGGUUCAAAAGAAGACAAGCACAGCGAUUGGCUAACAGCUAUUCACUUUUCGUAUUUUCACUACAUUUAAGAUACACAAUCCACCCUCUGUAUACAAGACCGUGCUCACAACGCUCACGACCUUCCUUCCUUCUUUUCCUUAUGGCUGACUCUUCCAAUGAGGAGAUGUGCCAGAACGCUCACGACCAGUGACGGAUCAAAUGAUACACCACGGCCAAGAUAGUACAAAGAGGGUCAAAUAUUAUGGGAUUUUGUGUCUGGUAGUUGGAGGUAAAAGAAGCGCGCACAAUAACCGACAUCUUGGUUGUAACGGUUUGGAGGUUUUCCAUUUGGUGAUACCAGAAAGAUUUGUGCCAGCUCUUGGUACACUUGAGAUCCUAGAUAAUGGACCAUUGACUGGAAUUUUUUCUUCGGUGUGACCAAGAAUUCUACCCACAAGAAAUGCUGACUCUUCGCUGGUUAGGAUUCCACUUGCCAUAGGGCCUUCAAUGAACUCUCUAUCAUUCAUAAGAGGGUAUCGAACACUGUACCAGACCUCUUCAGGGCUGCGAAGAGAGUGCCCUCAUGUGCUAAUCGAAGACUGUCUCUACAUGCUAAAUCAGCUACUUCUUUGGAACUGAGAUCUUCAAAGCACUCCUGACACAAGACUGUUGCAGGAUCAGAGUCUAUGAUGGAUAUACAUGCUGAUAGGAGUCCAGAACAGGCUUCAGCUGAAACCAGACAAUGAAAUUGUGCAGGUGGCGCGGUAGGCGUUCCAGGAGGUUUCACCGUUUCAAGAUUUCCUGCAUAUAGUCCGAGUCCUUGAUAGACUUCAAGGACAGUUGAAGAGUCCAAAUUAGCCUCCAAGAAUUUGACAGAAAGUCGAGCAAGUUCAGGGCAUAAGUAUUGAUGUGCCGCAUCCAGGGUAGCCCUAGCAGUAGUUACGGAUUGAAAAUUCACCGGCUCAUCAUGUAGGUAUCUAAAAAUGAGAUAAAAUAGAACGUCCAAGGUCAAUAGGUAUCUCAAAUUUCAUAUUGGCACUCAAGUCAGUACAGGUGCAACGGCGGAAUGGGCCUCGUGACGCCUUUGACCCUUAUGAGAAUUUCCAUUAACGAUAAUGGAUAACGCAACGAUUGAUAAAAAGAUCCACAGAUACGCGAUCACGCCAAGUACAGCGACGUUCAUUAAUUUCUCAAACCCGUCAGAAUCACACGGCAUGAUUCUAAGCACGCGGAAAGAUUUGGUUCCAGGAAAAAAAAGCAUGUUGCACUCUGAACUGCAAUGUGGAUGAGAGUUUCGACGUGCACUGUUCACUACGAUCUAAUACAAUGCUCAUUGAUACCUUUGAAUCUCAGAAGUUUAAUAUGAAUGAAUAAUGAGGACGGAUUUUACUACGUCGCAAUUUUCAUUCUAUAAUUCUACUUGGAUUUAAAAUACCUGGACCUGCCUGAAGUACCUCCUUAAGAACUUCACGACCAGGAACUACCCUGCCUCCCACUCAAUAACUAAAAAAGAACCAGUGACCUACCUCAACAAAUGAUCAAAGGCCCGUUUCUCAAUAUGCUGAAGUUUAACUGUUGGUGGGGGAUCAGUGGGAGCCGGUGAGAGCGGGCCUAGAAGCAUGGCCCGAAACCACUCCGAUCUUUGGGCGAGUCGCUGUCUUUCGAUGCGGUACCUCCAGGUAUCACCAGGAUCAAGAUACAAACAUACCUCAAGCAUCACCAUAUCAAAAGGAUGGCUUCCUGACAUCUUUUCCUCGCCCGGUAUCAGUGCUACUUGAGACAUAUCGAAAUCUUUGCAGUGAUUCUUAGGUAUGAUGAGCCUGGGUC